rnacentral:rRNA from 1 species
CAGCCGCCGCGGUAACACCGGCGGCCCGAGUGGCGGUCACUAUUAUUGGGCUUAAAGCGUCCGUAGCCGGGUUGGGAAGUCCUCCGGGAAAUCUGGCCGCUUAACGGUCAGAAUGCCGGAGGAUACUCCCAGCCUAGGGACCGGGAGAGGCCGAGGGGAUUCCCGGAGUAGGGGGGAAAUCCUAUAAUCCCGGGAGGACCACCUGUGGCGAAGGCGCUCGGCUGGAACGCGUCCGACGGUGAGGGACGAAGGCCAGGGGAGCAAACCGGAUUAGAUACCCGGGUAGUCCUGGCUGUAAACGAUGCGGAUUUUGUGUCGGACAAGCUAUGAGCUUGUCCGGUGCCGGAGGGAAACCGUUAAGUCCGCCGCCUGGGGAGUACGGCCGCAAGGCUGAAACUUAAAGGAAUUGGCGGG